rnacentral:rRNA from 1 species
AUUGAACGCUGGCGGCAGGCUUAACACAUGCAAGUCGAGCGGAGAUGAGGUGCUUGCACCUUAUCUUAGCGGCGGACGGGUGAGUAAUGCUUAGGAAUCUGCCUAUUAGUGGGGGACAACAUUCCGAAAGGAAUGCUAAUACCGCAUACGUCCUACGGGAGAAAGCAGGGGAUCUUCGGCCUUUGCGCUAAUAGAUGAGCCUAAGUCGGAUUAGCUAGUUGGUGGGGUAAAGGCCUACCAAGGCGACGAUCUGUAGCGGGUCUGAGAGGAUGAUCCGCCACACUGGGGCUGAGACACGGCCCAGACUCCUACGGGAGGCAGCAGUGGGGAAUAUUGGACAAUGGGGGGAACCCUGAUCCAGCCAUGCCGCGUGUGUGAAGAAGGCCUUAUGGUUGUAAAGCACUUUAAGCGAGGAGGAGGCUACUGAGACUAAUACUCUUGGAUAGUGGACGUUACUCGCAGAAUAAGCACCGGCUAACUCUGUGCCAGCCGCCGCGGUAAGAC